rfam:Vibrio vulnificus YJ016 DNA, chromosome II, complete sequence.
GCCCUGGUGGUGAAAUUGGUAGACACAAGGGAUUUAAAAUCCCUCGACUUUCGAGUCGUGCCGGUUCAAGUCCGGCCCGGGGCA